AGUGAACGCUGGCGGUAGGCCUAACACAUGCAAGUCGAACGGCAGCACAGUAAGAGCUUGCUCUUACGGGUGGCGAGUGGCGGACGGGUGAGGAAUACAUCGGAAUCUACUUUUUCGUGGGGGAUAACGUAGGGAAACUUACGCUAAUACCGCAUACGACCUACGGGUGAAAGCAGGGGAUCUUCGGACCUUGCGCGAUUGAAUGAGCCGAUGUCGGAUUAGCUAGUUGGCGGGGUAAAGGCCCACCAAGGCGACGAUCCGUAGCUGGUCUGAGAGGAUGAUCAGCCACACUGGAACUGAGACACGGUCCCGACUCCUACGGGAGGCAGCAGUGGGGAAUAUUGGACCAUGGGCGGAAGCCUGAUCCAGCCAUACCGGGUGGGUGAAGAAGGCCUUCGGGUUGUAAAGCCCUUUUGUUGGGAAAGAAAGGCAGCAGGUUAAUACCCCGCUGUUCUGACGGUACCCAAAGAAUAAGCACCGGCUAACUUCGUG
rnacentral:rRNA from 1 species